UCAUUCUAAUCAAACCAGGAUGAAUCGCGAUGUAAGAAGCUUGAUUUUGAUACAUAAAGUAGUGGAGAAUCACCAGGAAGCUGAAUAAAUCUCAUAGGAGUUAGGAUGAAGAAGCUAUCCCACUUUCAAAUCAGGUGAUCCCAGUUUUCUUGUUUGGGAAUAAGACAGCUUCUUUGUCAUUCUAAUCAAACCAGGAUGAAUCGCGAUGUGUAAGACGCUUGAUUUUGAUAACAUAAAUUAUGGAGAAUCACCAGGAAGCUGAAUAAAUCUCAUAGGAGUUAGGAUGAAGAAGCUACCACUUUCAAAUCAGGUGAUCCCAGUUUUCCUGUUUGGAAUAUGACAGCUUCUUGUCAUUCUAAUCAAACCAGGAUGAAUCGCGAUGUAUGAAGCUUGAUUUUGAUACAUAAAGUAGUGGAGAAUCCUCAGGAAGCUGAAUAAAUCUCAUAGGAGUUAGGAUGAAGAAGCUAUCCCACUUUCAAAUCAGGUGAUCCCAGUUUCCUGUUUGGGAAUAUGACAGCUUCUUUGUCAUUCUAAUCAACCCAGAUGAAUCGCGAUGUAAGAAGCUUGAUUUUGAUACAUAAAGUAGUGGAGAAUCACCAGAAGCUGAAUAAAUCUCAUAGGAGUUGGAUGAAGAAGCUAUCCCACUUUCAAAUCAGGUGAUCCCGUUUUCCUGUUUGGGCAUAUGACAGUUUCUUUGUCAUUCUAAUCAAACCAGGAUGAAUCGCGAUGUAAGAAGCUUGAUUUGAACCAUAAGUAAUGGAGAAUCACCAGGAAGCUGAAUAAAUCUCAUAAGAGUUAGGAU